rnacentral:rRNA from 1 species
GACGUAGGGCGCGAGCGUUGUCCGGAAUUACUGGGCGUAAAGAGCUCGUAGGUGGUUUGUCGCGUUGUCCGUGAAGACUCACAGCUCAACUGUGGGCGUGCGGGCGAUACGGGCAGACUGGAGUACUGCAGGGGAGACUGGAAUUCCUGGUGUAGCGGUGGAAUGCGCAGAUAUCAGGAGGAACACCGGUGGCGAAGGCGGGUCUCUGGGCAGUAACUGACGCUGAGGAGCGAAAGCGUGGGGAGCGAACAGG